GCAGAAUUUGGGGGAACAGGACUCUAGACUGCCUCUAGAGAGAGCUGUAUUGAAGGCCCUGCGACCCAGCACAGAGAAGGGAAUGGUGCUCUAGGUCCCUGCCUCUGCAGAAGACAAAUCCAGGAAGAGAACCAGGAAACUGCAGAGUAGCCAGCCACAUGCGAGAAAAAUCUGAAGGAGACGAAAAUGUUUCAGGAGAAAGAGGUAUAAUUUGCAGUGAAGUGCACAAAUCA
rnacentral:lncRNA from 1 species